AGACAAAGUAUAUGCUGACUGACAUUAACUCCAUUGCCAACACCUGCAAUAUACGAUAAGAUGAGAUUUGCAUUGUUCUUGGUUCUCCUGUUGGUCCUUUAUGGUCUAGUGGAAGCAGAAACUACCACCACCACCACUUCUGCUACCAAUAUCACUUCUACCAAUUCUACGAUCCCUGUACAAUGGUGUCUCUGUAGUUACCGAUGGUGGUGGUGGCGUUUUUGGCGAUGGUGUCCCUGCACAUCGAGUCUCCAGAAUUGACAAAAUAUCCAACUCAGAACUCGAUACAGCUGAAAAGAGUUCCCUGCAUUCCAGAAAAAAUGUUUUUUCAAGUUUCUCAAAGAUUAAAAGAUAAAAUUAU